GGCUCCAUAGUGUAAUGGUUAGCACGUCUGCUUUACAUGCAGAAGGUCCUGGGUUCG
rnacentral:tRNA from 1 species